rnacentral:rRNA from 1 species
GACGAACGCUGGCGGCGUGCCUAAUACAUGCAAGUCGAACGCACAGUCUAUACCCUAGCUUGCUUCACCAUAAACUGUGAGGUGCGAACGGGACAGGAACGCGUAGCUAACCUGCCUGGUAGCGGGUCAUAACUAUUGGAAACGUUAGCUAAUAUCUCAUAAUAUUCAUUAUUGCAUGAUAAUUGAUGGAAAUAUGCAAUUGCAUCACUACCAGAUGGACCUGUGUUGUAUUAGCUAGUAGGUGAGGUAACGGCUCACCUAAGCGACGAUACAUAGCCGACCUGAGGGGGUGGUCGGCCAACAUGGGAAUGAGACACGGCCCAGACUCCUACGGGAGGGAGCAGGAAGGGAACUUCGGCAAUGGACGGAAGGCUGGACGAGGAAAGCCGGGUGAGGGAAGAAGGGUUUCGGGACGUAAAGAUCUGUUGUAAGAGAAGAACGAGUGUGGGAGUGGACAGUUCACACUGUGACGGUAUCCAACCAGAAAGGGACGGCUAACUACGUG